GGCCAGACUCCUACGGGAGGCAGCAGUAGGGAAUAUUGCUCAAUGGGGGAAACCCUGAAGCAGCAACGCCGCGUGGAUGAUGAAGGUUUUCGGAGUGUAAACUCCUUUUGGUAGAGAAGAUAAUGACGGUAUCUAAAGAAUAAGCACCGGCUAACUCCGUGCCAGCAGCCGCGGUAAUACGGAGGGUGCAAGCGUUACACGGAAUCACUGGGCGUAAAGAGGGCGUAGGCGGGAUAGCAAGUCAGAUGUGAAAGCCUAUGGCUUAACCAUAGAACUGCAUUUGAAACGGUUAGUCUAGAGUAAGGGAGAGCUGGGUGGAAUUCUUGGGGUAGGGUUAAAAGCCGUAGAAAUCAAGAGGAAAACUC
rnacentral:rRNA from 1 species